GAUGAAGAACGUAGCGAAAUGCGAUAAGUAAUGCGAAUUGCAGAAUUUCCGUGAGUCAUCGAAUCUUUGAACGCACAUUGCGCCCACUGGUAUUCCGGUGGGCAUGCCUGUUCGAGCGUCAUUAUCCUCCCUCAAACCCCGGGUUUGGUGUUGGACCCAAGUUGUGUGAACAACUGGUCUCAAAGACAAUGACGGCGUCCGUGGGACCCUCGGUGCAACGAGCUUUUAGGAGCACGCAUCGAGUUGCAAGGACCUUCCGGGCCGGUCUCCUUUACCAUUUUACAAGGUUGACCUCGGAUCAGGUAGGAAUACCCGCUGAACUUAAGCAUAUCAAUAAGCGGGAGGA
rnacentral:misc_RNA from 1 species